rnacentral:rRNA from 1 species
GAUUUCUGGGCAUCAGUUUCUGGCCGGCCACGGUUUCGUGUGUUAGUGCUUGAAGCUUUGUCCAUCCUUCCAAUCGCUAGUUACUAUUCUUCAUUGAUUGGUAAUUAGUAUUGGAUCUUUUACUUUGAAAAAAUUAGAGUGUUUCAAGCAGGCUUUAUGCUAUGAAUACAUUAGCAUGGAAUAAUAAUUUAGGACUUCGGUUCUAUUUUGUUGGUUUCUAGGACUGAAGUAAUGAUUGAUAGGGACAGUUGGGGGUGCUAGUAUUCAGCGGCCAGAGGUGAAAUUCUCGGAUUCGCUGAAGACUAACUUAUGCGAAAGCAUU